UACGGAGGAUGCAAGCGUUAUCCGGAAUGAUUGGGCGUAAAGCGUCCGCAGGUGGCAAUGUAAGUCUGCUGUUAAAGAGUCUAGCUCAACUAGAUACAAGCAGUGGAAACUACAUAGCUAGAGUACGUUCGGGGCAGAGGGAAUUCCUGGUGUAGCGGUGAAAUGCGUAGAGAUCAGGAAGAACACCGGUGGCGAAGGCGCUCUGCUAGGCCGUAACUGACACUGAGGACGAAAGCUAGGGGAGCGAAUGGG
rnacentral:rRNA from 1 species